AGACCUCUCGGGCGAGCGCGGCGCAGCGCAGAUUAAAAAUCAAGAAAUAUAAACCAGAUGUAGCAGUUUCUUGACAUGGAGAACCAAGCCCAUAAUACGAUGGGAACUUCUCCUUGUGAGGCUGAGCUUCAGGAAUUAAUGGAACAAAUUGACAUCAUGGUAAGCAACAAGAAAAUGGAUUGGGAAAGAAAGAUGCGGGCUUUGGAGACACGAUUAGAUCUUCGGGAUCAAGAAUUGGCAAAUGCACAAACUUGUUUGGAUCAGAAAGGUCAAGAGGUAGGGUUACUUCGACAGAAAUUGGACAGUCUGGAAAAAUGUAAUUUAGCAAUGACUCAGAAUUAUGAAGGACAACUACAAAGCCUAAAGGCUCAAUUUUCCAAACUAACAAAUAACUUUGAAAAACUGAGAUUACAUCAGAUGAAACAAAACAAAGUUCCACGAAAAGAAUUACCACACCUUAAAGAAGAAAUACCCUUUGAACUGAGCAAUUUGAACCAGAAAUUAGAGGAAUUUAGAGCAAAGUCAAGAGAAUGGGACAAGCAAGAGAUAUUAUAUCAGACUCAUCUGAUUUCUUUAGAUGCUCAACAAAAAUUAUUAUCUGAGAAGUGUAAUCAGUUUCAGAAACAGGCACAAAGUUACCAAACUCAACUAAAUGGUAAAAAACAGUGCUUAGAAGACAGCAGCUCUGAAAUUCCUCGUUUGAUAUGUGACCCAGAUCCCAAUUGUGAAAUCAAUGAAAGAGAUGAGUUCAUUAUUGAAAAACUGAAAUCAGCUGUAAAUGAGAUAGCACUAAGCAGGAAUAAAUUACAAGAUGAAAAUCAGAAGCUCUUGCAAGAACUGAAAAUGUACCAAAGACAGUGCCAGGCCAUGGAAGCAGGUCUCUCAGAGGUAAAAAGUGAGUUACAGUCACGUGAUGAUCUCUUGAGAAUUAUAGAAAUGGAACGAUUGCAAUUACACAGAGAAUUAUUAAAAAUAGGAGAGUGCCAAAAUGCUCAAGGAAAUAAAACAAGACUUGAAUCAUCUUAUUUGCCUUCUAUUAAAGAACCAGAAAGGAAAAUAAAAGAGCUGUUUUCAGUGAUGCAAGAUCAACCAAAUCAUGAAAAAGAAUUGAACAAGAUAAGAAGCCAACUCCAACAGGUGGAAGAGUACCAUAACUCUGAGCAGGAAAGAAUGAGGAAUGAAAUCUCUGACCUAACAGAAGAGCUUCAUCAGAAGGAGAUCACUAUAGCAACUGUCACAAAGAAAGCUGCCCUUCUGGAAAAACAGUUAAAAAUGGAAUUAGAAAUAAAAGAAAAAAUGUUAGCAAAACAAAAGGUCUCAGAUAUGAAAUAUAAAGCUGUCAGAACUGAAAACACACAUCUAAAAGGAAUGAUGGGAGAUUUAGACCCCGGAGAAUACAUGUGGAUGGCAAGCAGAGAACCAUGUCUUAUUGGUGUUUGUUUCACCAGUACCUCACAUCUCAGGCAUAAAAGUAUGGACUUCACUAACAGGGAACAGUCAAGGCAUACAUCUAUUAAUAAACUGCAAUAUGAGAAUGAAAGGCUCCGAAAUGAUCUUGCAAAACUUCAUGUCAAUGGAAAAUCAACCUGGACUAAUCAAAACACCUAUGAAGAAACAGGAAGAUAUGCCUAUCAAAGCCAAAUAAAAGUGGAACAAAAUGAAGAGAGACUUAGUCAUGACUGUGAGCCAAACAGAAGUACAAUGCCUCCCUUGCCACCUUCGACAUUUCAAGCCAAAGAAAUGACAAGUCCUUUGGUUAGUGAUGAUGAUGUAUUCCCACUGAUCCAUGUAUUCUACCCAUUGGAAACACAGAACCAUAAAACAGCCAUCGGUUUAAAGUCUAUACCACAUCCUGAAGAAUGGCACCCCAACCUCACAGGAUAUAAUCUCCAAGCUGGUGCCUCAGCUUUGCCCUCAAGAGGCCGUCCCAAAGCUCUAUCAUGUUAGCAUCCUCUGGAUAGUGCUGUGUGUGGUUAGGACCAGUGGAUACCAUGGUCGUGCCCCCACUGCCAUACUCUUUUGCUAUAAAUCUCCCCCAGAUAUGUCCUUCCCAGCAUCUUUGGCUGCACAGCAUUUCCUUCUGGAAGAAGAGAAACGAGCAAAAGAACUUGAAAAACUUCUAAAUACACAUAUUGAUGAACUGCAAAGACACACAGAAUUUACUCUUAAUAAAUACUCCAAGCUAAAACAAAAUAGACACAUAUGAGCUUUUAAACUUUUUUAUUUGCUUCCCCCCCCCACCCCCGCCAAGAAAAAAAGCUCUGGCAAAAUAUUUACAAAGCUGAUUAAUGAAACCAAGAAAUUCUGUUCUGUUUCCUUGAGUAAAUAAUUUCCGUAAGGCAGCUAGAAAAUAGUAAGUAUUUUGUUCUAUAAAGCUGUUCACAUUUCUGCAUUAACAUGCUAAAUUGUCCUGCUGUAGAGUUACUAUAAAAUAAACAUGACUAUUCCAAAAGAGAUUUUUUUCCAGUCUAAGGAAUAUUUUGGAAUCAAAUAUGCAGUUUUUUUUCCCCACUUGAAUCAUGUAUACUGAAAACCCAUUUCCUCAGCAACUACACAAAAUAAGAGAAAGGGAAGUGCUAUAUUCCAGAUACAAAUGACUCAAAGGCAGCUCAGUUGUACUGGUUUUGAAAACUCAAGGAUUUUAUAAAUAAAAAUAUUUAAGUAUUUCCAGUUAUGUAAACACUCUAAAAUUCUAUAAUUUUUUGGAAAAAAAAAGCUAUAGCUUUAUUGUUUUUACAUUCACCUUUAUAAUGUCUGUCUGUUUCAACACAAUGAAGGUAUAUGGAAUGUGCAAUUUACAAACCUAAAAUAUAUGUGCCAAAAAUUAACGCUUUUUUGUUAGUACUAAUUACUUCAUGGACACAAACAAGAUAAAGGAAAUAUAAAGCAUUACUGUUGCUACAUUUUCCUUUGUAAUCACUUCUGUUUUUAAUACAAUAAAGGAAUGUAAAAUUCAA